rnacentral:tRNA from 7 species
GAGGAAAAUCCGUCGACUUUUAAAAUCGUGAG